UACGGAGGGUGCGAGCGUUGUCCGGAAUCAUUGGGCGUAAAGGGCGCGUAGGUGGCCUGGCAAGCGUGCGGUGAAAGCUCGGGGCUCAACCCCGAGUCGGCCGUGCGAACUGCUAUGGCUCGAGCACUGUAGAGGCAGGCGGAAUUCCGGGUGUAGCGGUGGAAUGCGUAGAUAUCAAGAGGAACACCUGAGGUGAAGACGGGUUGCUGGGCUGACACUGACGCUGAGGCGCGAAAGCUAGGGUAGCAAACGGG
rnacentral:rRNA from 1 species